CUUUCCUCGGGCCGAAAAUACUCUUUGCCUAAGUUUCUGACUCAACCUGACCUGAGAACCAGACCCGGCUGGUCCUCAGUUCUCUGGCUACCACUAGUCGGAGAAGGACGGCCUCAACCUCCUCUUUCAAUGCUUGUCCCUUUCUAGCUCAAGUUCGUAACUUGUAGAGAGAAAUGAGGCCAAGAAGCCAGCAAAAUCGCACGUCGUUAACCCAGUUCGAUCUCCGAUAUCCAGCCGUUUCAUGUGACACUAACACUUGGGUCUUGAAGCCCUUAUCAUGCUCGUUCCAACCACAUAAGUCUUAGUCGUCGAUUUAAGCUGAGGAGGGAGAAUCAAAGCAUGAAGGUAUUGGUAUAGGUUACGCCCCCCGAUGUGGGGUUGGAGUGUCAGCGCGUGAGUCCCACUCACAACCACUUUUUGCGACGAGUGUGGGCGCAUGAGGCCAUCUCAUGCCGUAUAAUUUAGCUUUUGAGAGAGAGGGGAUGGGCCAGUGGUCUCAACUUGUGACGCUAGAAGAGAGGAGAUGGACUGGUAGUCAUAGCUGGAGAUGAGACACCAGAAGCGAGAGGAUGGACUGGUGGCCGACGUUGUGGUUGUGGCACCAGGAGAGAGGGAACAGACUGGUGGUCGAUAUGAUUAUUGGUAUGAGAUAUGUAUGUUGUUAUUUGAGAUAUUUAUGAUUGAUGAUUUUGUGUUGUGAGGGGUGCGUGUGUAUGUGUGUGUAAUUGAGAUCUGAAGGGCUGUCACCCAUUUUGAUAAUGAUCGGCUAGCUACUUCACUCUGUCUCUCUCUUCCUAGCAAGAGGAAGACAACGGGGUUUCAAAAUCUAGACUGGUAGUCAUAGCUGGAGAUGAUGCACCAGAAACGAGGGGAUGGACUGGUGGCCGACGUUGUGGUUGUGGCACCAGGAGAAAAGGAACAGACUGAUGGCCGAAAUAUGUAUGUUGUGAUUUAAGAUAUUUACGAUUGAUGAUUUUGUGUUGUGAGGUGUGUCUGUGUGUGUAUGACUGAGAUCUGAAGGGUUGUCACCCAUUUCGAUAAUGAUCAACUAGCUAAUUCACUC